rnacentral:sRNA from 19 species
UCAAAAGUGAUCUAGGGUUCCGAUACUUACAGUAUGUCUGGACCGAGAGUUCACGGUUCCUAGCGAACUACACGGAGGGAUAAAAGCCCGGGAGGA